UUUACAGCAGAGGAGGCAUUCAAAAAGAAAAGGAAAGCCUACAAAAGCACUGCUCCUAAAGAGAGUAUAAAUCAGCACAUGAAUCUGGGUGCCAUCACCAAAGAAGUAAUAAGUGACAUCAUGUGUGUGAAGCAGAGAAGAUGAACUGCUGAUAAAGUUGCAGACAGUACCAGUCCCAAAACUGAUCCCUUAGGUGCACCAAACAGCAGGGAUGCUGCAUCUGAGACAAUCUGAUUCACCAUCAAAUGCUGGGAUCUACUCGACAAAUAUGACCUAAAGAGCAUAAGAGCAUCGUUACGAACUCAGCAAUUUUUGAAGGCCACUCAGAAAUAGCUCUUGAUCAACUAUGAAAGGCUGCAGAGAUCAAAGGUUACGUUCUUGACAUCCCAGUGAAAGGCCAGAGCCACUAAUGCUCAUCUGAACAACUAUCAUACACCACGGGCAGAGAUGAACCGACGAGAAGGUGGAUGGUGCGCACAGAACCUACGGGGCCAGGGAACAGUCCAAGCCAUGACCUCCCCUCUUACAGGUUACAAGGCGGCUAUUCUUCACUGACCUCCCCUCUUGCAGGUUAUCUGAAUCUAAAUGCAUCUUGUAUUUAAUCAAUCCCAUAACGAGAUGAGAAAAGAGAUAAGAAAAUUGAUGGAAGGGAACAAACUGACAGUAAAGACAAACGCCAGAUUCUUUAAUAACACGUUGCAUUAGUAUUAACAGUUACGUGGCUAGUCUGGCUUCGUAAUUCCACUUUCGGGACGGCGUUAGUCACAAGUGGUGGAUUUUCACAAUGACGACACAUUACAAACUCAGUCGUAAAAGGUGAUAUAAAAAAAUCAACAACUAACCGCGCCUUGAAAAACGGGACAAAAAAGACAAAUCUGCCACAUUCAGUUAUUGUUACUAUACAGCACCGUUGCCAGAUUGUCGUACUCAGAGCAUAGUAUUUACCGGUUUCUGACGCCUAACUAUUGCCAAGAAACAUCAGGAUCCAACUCUUUUUAACGAUAACUAUAAAUGAGUUUCGUUAUUGGAGCCCAGAAGACAGUUUUGGGGUAGGAAGUCGGGAAAUAUAAGCGGCUGAGUACGACAAUCUGGCAACGUUGCUAUACAGACUAAUGCGACGUUUAAAAAUUCAAGCGAAAGUCAUCGUCGUGCAUUUAAAAUAGCGAGUCCCACGAGGAUUUACCCCCCGAGCCAUCAAUCAGUGACCACAGCACCUCCAGUCAGCCGGGACUCGGGGGAGGGGGGGGAGGGGGGAACGUGAUCUGGGAGGGAGGGAGGGGAGACCGAGGGGAACAAAAGCCGGGAGGGAGGACACAACUGCUGCCAUUGAGUCGGUGAAUAACAGCAAAUCAAGAGGAGGGUCGACGGAGGGAGGGAGGAGGAGGAAGGUUAUGCCUCCUCACCACAACGACACUUGAUCACCGCCGCUCCACUGACGCCGAGAAAGGGAGCCACAAGGGGACCACAGGGGAGGGAGGAGCCGCUGUGACAACCUGCUCCCUCGUCAGCAGCAACAUAUUACAGACAGAAGGAACAGACACGGCAGACGGACAGGUGUUUCAGGGGAUUGACCGGGACCAAGAUAUAAACUCCGGGCAUCCUACUCAAAGCCCAAAAUUCGCUUCUCACCGCGGAGCUGCUUAUGACCAGGGCUUACGACGGUGUGCAGCGUCGGUAUAAAUUUUACCUCGUAUUCUUAAUUAAACGCCUGUUUGAAAAAGCCUCUCGUAGAAGCACCGUUGCCAGAUUGUCGUACUCAGAGCAUAGUAUUUACCGGUUUCUAACGCCUAACUAUUGCCAAGAAACAUCAGGAAUUAACUAUUUUAACGAUAAUUUUAAGUGAAUCUCCUUAUUGUUGUUGCAAGGGGUUUCAGUUCAGGGGUGUGGAGUCUGAGUUAAAAUUUUCCGACUCCGACUCCGACUCCUACUCCCAUGCCCCUCCUCCUCUAUUGCUUUUUUUUUUUUGUUAUGCUGCCUGUAGCGUCGGUAAACUCUCUUGACUUUUCCUCACAGCUACAUUACACGAUAAAUGAUUACGUUAAGGAGUCUGAGUCGGGGGUAUUUUUACCGACUCCGGCUCCGACCAAAAGUAGCCGACUCCUCCGACUCCGAUUCCGACUCCGACUCCACACCCCUGGUUUUCAUGAACAGUUUUGUGAUCCUGGUGAUAGUUUUACAGGACUUCCGGACCAUGAACGGGAAAAUCAUCACGAAUCACGAAUGACAACUAGACUAAUCUUCUCUGCGGGCUGGGAAAACAGUCUAAAGAGAGUUAUAUAUACGUCAGGGGAGCAUGUAUGGGGUUCAUGGGUCACGCAAGCCAUCAAAAAGGACGAAAAUCGAUUUAUUAUAUUAUCAAAACUCACAACUAUUUAAACUUGAGAGCUUGUCAGAAAAGGCUCAACCACUGGACUCUUUGUUUAAUGAGAGCUUGUCAGAAAAGGCUCAAUUAUUGGAAUCUUGUUUAAUGAGAGCUUGUCAGAAAAGGCUCAAUUAUUGGAAUCUUGUAUAAUGGGAGCUUGUCAGAAAAGGCUCAAUUAUUGGAAUCUUGUUUAAUGGGAGCUUGUCAGAAAAGGCUCAAUUAUUGGAAUCUUGUAUAAUGGGAGCUUGUCAGAAAAAGGCUCAAUUAUUGGAAUCUUGUUUAAUGAGAGCUUGUCAGAAAAGGCUCAAUUAUUGGAAUCUUGUUUAAUGAGAGCUUGUCAGAAAAAGGCUCAAUUAUUGGAAUCUUGUUUAAUGAGAGCUUGUCAGAAAAGGCUCAAUUAUUGGAAUCUUGUUUAAUGAGAGCUUGUCAGAAAAGGCUCAAUUAUUGGAAUCUUGUUUAAUGAGAGCCCGAUAAUUUUAAUAAUAUGGACAAGUUGAGCGACCAUACCACGACCUUGACCGGGACAAGAAGCAUACACGAGGGAAAGCGAUGGGAAAAGAGGCACAUGGAAAUUAAUACACAACUGAUCGCACGCUUUAAAUCGAUUGGUGUAGAGAGGGGCGGAUAAUCCCUCCUCACUGUACCUACUUCACUCCUCGUCUCCCUCCGCUGGCCGUGUGCACCUGUUUGCUGGACCCAUAUUCUCUCACUCUUCGGGGGCACACCCACCCACCAUGGAUAAAGCUUGGUAGAGGUUUUGGUAACUAGGAAGGGAGGGAAAGGGAGAUGACUAAAGGAGAGGGGAAGGAAAGGGAGAUGACUAAAGGAGAGGGGAGGGAAAGGGAGAUGACUAAAGGAGAGGGGAGGGAAAGGGAGAUGACUAAAGGAGAGGGGAGGGAAAGGGAGAUGACUAAAGGAGAUGGGAGGGAAAGGGAGAUGACUAAAGGAGAGGGGAAGGAAAGGGAGAUGACUAAAGGAGAGGGGAGGCAAAGGGAGAUGACUAAAGGAGAGGGGAGGGAAAGGGAGAUGACUAAAGGAGAGGGGAGGGAAAGGGAGAUGACUAAAGGAGAUGGGAGGGAAAGGGAGAUGACUAAAGGAGAGGGGAGGGAAAGGGAGAUGACUAAAGGAAGUUGGUGUUUAGAGUUGACCAAAACCACACCAAAAACCCUGAAACAAGUCUUGUAUGGGUCUUAACUAAAGCUCUCAGUCAUUCCGCGGGCAUUCAUUACAGCUCUCAAUCAACCCGCUGAAGCUCCUGCACCACAGAGGCUCAGGGCAGAGGUUGUCA